UGAUUGACGGAGGAGAGUUAACGGGUCAGAGGAGCAGCGGUGACCGAGCAGAGCGCUUCAUCCCGGGCCAGAGAGGGAACAUGAGGCCGCUGUGGUUCACGUGGGUUUGUUUCGUGCACAGCUCGGGUCUGUUGUCUCACGUGGAGCGUUACGAGGUGGUCAGACCUCAGAGGCUGCAGAGGAGCAGCCUGAAGGAGAAGCAGCUUUAUCCCGACACGCUGCAGUACGAGCUGGCCAUUGAAGGGAGGACCCACACUAUUCACCUGGAAAAAAACAG